CCCAACUGGGCAGAGGGAUCCUCCUCCCAUCAUCACUGGACAAGACUGAAUCUGGAGAACAUUUUGAGAAGCAUGGAACGAACACAGAGGCUUCUCUUGCAGAUUUUGUGAAGAGGGAUCUGGCCACCUCUGUGUGAGCAGCUCCACAUCUGGCUUGACAGUGGAUUUGAAUUUAGUGACUCCAGGGCCAAGCAGCUCAAGCUACAGUGUAACAACUUAGAGAUCUGUUUGUUGGCUUUGUAUUGUUUUCUUUUUUUCCCAUGAGUGAUCCAGGACCCUAGAAUCUGUUUUGGGGAAUGACUUCUGUGCAUGCCCCUGCAGCUGAUUCAUGCUCACAGCAGACUGGCUACAGCAGCUGCACGACCUGUGGUGCACAGCGGAGAGCUCUUCCACCAGGAGAGAAGAUGACACCAGGCAGCAGCAAGUCAGCAGCACUCUGCUCCUGAGGAAGAAUGGCAGUCAAAUGUUGUGCGAAGCUGGGACAGAAGAUUAUCAUGCCUCAGAAAGAAGUCAUGCUCAUUUUGAUCACCUAUUACCCACGAGUGUUGGUGUUUAAGCUGGACACUAGUGAUGGUGGGUGGAAAACUGGAAGCACCUGCAUCCUGUGAUCACCCCAUCCUUGGUCCUCAGUAGAUCCCUGCUUGGCUAUCAGAGCUGCUCUGCUCUUUGGACUUUAAUCCAUAUCUGCUGUGGAGAACAACUCCAGGUUGCACAGCAGGGAAUGGUGUAACAAGCUGGUGUGCAAGCAAAGCUCAUGAGCUCACUUCACACCUUAGCUAAUCCCCCACAAAUGACACAGCUUCAGUGAAGGCAAGACCAUGUCAGGCAGCAGAAUUGCUGGCUCACUGCACUAGCACCCCCACAUCUGCAGACUUUAAAGCCUCCAGAGGACCUUGGCGUUCACCUCCUGGAGGGUAUCCCCAAGUACAAAGCACACCAUUGAUCUGAUCUGGGCAGGAGCUGGUCCAAGCCUUGCCAGAGCAACACUUUCUCUCUUUCUCCUGGUACUUCUCAAUGAUUUUCUACACCAACUCUAAACUCUCAGGAGAGAAACUAUGAAGACAUUGCUUCAGACUCCUCAUGUGUGGAGUCAGUGGCAUCUUGGGAGAGCUCGUGGGACUUGGUUCUCUUCUUGAUUGGAACUGAUGUCCUUAGGCAGGAGAGCUCUGCUGUGCUAACACAUAACAAGCAGCUCUUUGCAGUCACGCUGGGAAGCAUGGACAGGUCAGGUGUGCAAAUUCUCUCUUUGGCUGGCACGUAGUGGAGACAGGAUGGCUCAAGGUUCCCUGCAGUCUGUUGUUCAGCCAGGAAGCUGUCUCAGAUAAAUGGAAAGGCAGCAAUUAAAGAUUCCCUCAGAAUGAAAUGCUGCUGGGAAGAAUACCUGACCUCCUAGUUUGGCUGUUAAAGCCCCACUGAAAUCACUCAGUGCUGUCCUGCGGGGGGUGCAGCCCCUAGAAAAGCCAGGAAUUUGUAACAAUACUUCUCCAGAGCUCUUUCCUCUUCCCCAGAGUGGAUAAGGCUUUCUCUUCCACAUCUUGUCUGCAAGUACUUGCAUUUACUUUGGAAGUGGGCCCAAUCCAGAAGAGAGGCUAAGAGACUUCUUUGCUUUGGAGACCUUCUCA